GUGCACGGCCAUACCUAGGCGAAACCACCAGUUCCCGUCCGAUCACUGCGAUUAAGAGUCUGAGGGCUUAGUCUCGUUUGUGCUAUGGUUGGAGAGGUGCUGUAGGCU
rnacentral:rRNA from 1 species